AUUGAACGCUGGCGGAAUGCUUUACACAUGCAAGUCGAACGAUGAGAUCUAGCUUGCUAGAUCGAUUAGUGGCGAACGGGUGAGUAAUGUAUCGGAACGUAUCCAAUAAUGGGGGGAUAACUAAUCGAAAGGUUGGCUAAUACCGCAUACGCCCUACGGGGAAAGCAGGGGAUCUUCGGACCUUGCGUUAAUGGAGCGGCCGAUAUCUGAUUAGCUAGUUGGUGAGGUAAAAGCUCACCAAGGCGACGAUCAGUAGCUGGUCUGAGAGGACGACCAGCCACACUGGAACUGAGACACGGUCCAGACUCCUACGGGAGGCAGCAGUGGGGAAUUUUGGACAAUGGGCGAAAGCCUGAUCCAGCCAUUCCGCGUGAGUGAAGAAGGCCUUCGGGUUGUAAAGGACUCUUUCGUCAAGGGAAG
rnacentral:rRNA from 1 species